rnacentral:rRNA from 1 species
UAGGGAAUCUUCCACAAUGGGNGAAGCCUGAUGGAGCAACGCCGCGUGUGUGAUGAAGGGUUUCGGCUCGUAAAACACUGUUGUAAGAGAAGAAUGACAUUGAGAGUAACUGUUCAAUGUGUGACGGUAUCUUACCAGAAAGGAACGGCUAAAUACGUGCCAC